rnacentral:rRNA from 1 species
AUUGAACGCUGGCGGCAUGCCUUACACAUGCAAGUCGAACGGCAGCACGGGAGCGAUCCUGGUGGCGAGUGGCGAACGGGUGAGUAAAGCAUCGGAACGUGCCCUGGAAUGGGGGAUAACGUAGCGAAAGUUACGCUAAUACCGCAUAUUCUGUGAGCAGGAAAGCAGGGGAUCGCAAGACCUUGCGCUGAUUGAGCGGCCGAUAUCAGAUUAGCUAGUUGGUGGGGUAAAGGCCUACCAAGGCGACGAUCUGUAGCGGGUCUGAGAGGAUGAUCCGCCACACUGGAACUGAGACACGGUCCAGACUCCUACGGGAGGCAGCAGUGGGGAAUUUUGGACAAUGGGCGAAAGCCUGAUCCAGCCAUGCCGCGUGAGUGAAGAAGG